UACGUAGGGUCCGAGCGUUGUCCGGAAUUAUUGGGCGUAAAGGGCUCGUAGGCGGUUUGUUGCGUCGGCUGUGAAAUCCCGAGGCUCAACCUCGGGUCUGCAGUCGAUACGAGCAAACUAGAGUGUUGCAGGGGAGACUGGAAUUCCUGGUGUAGCGGUGAGAUGCGCAGAUAUCAGGAGGAACACCGGUGGCGAAGGCGGGUCUCUGGGCAACAACUGACGCUGAGGAGCGAAAGCGUGGGGAGCGAACAGG
rnacentral:rRNA from 1 species